rnacentral:rRNA from 1 species
CGUAGGUAAUCUACCUUCGGAUGGGGAAUAACAAUCGGAAACGGUUGCUAAUACCGCAUAAUGCAGCGGCACCUAAUGGUGACAGUUGUUAAAGCGGGGGAUCGAAAGACCUCGCGUCUGAAGAGGAGCCUGCGGCGGAUUAGCUAGUUGGUAAGGUAAUGGCUUACCAAGGCGACGAUCCGUAACCGGCCUGAGAGGGCGGUCGGUCACACUGACACUGACAUACGGGUCAG